CGUGUACGUACAAGCAGUGGGAGCACAGGUUUACCUGUGUGACUGCGUACCUUUUGUAUAAUGGGUCAGCGACUUAUAUUCUGUAGCAAGGUUAACCGAAUAGGGGAGCCGGAGGGAAACCGAGUCUUAACCGGGCGUUAAGUUGCAGGGUAUAGACCCGAAACCCGGUGAUCUAGCCAUGGGCAGGUUGAAGGUUGGGUAACACUAACUGGAGGACCGAACCGACUAAUGUUGAAAAAUUAGCGGAUGACCUGUGGCUGGGGGUGAAAGGCCAAUCAAACCGGGAGAUAGCUGGUUCUCCCCGAAAGCUAUUUAGGUAGCGCCUCGUGAAUUCAUCUCCGGGGGUAGAGCACUGUUUCGGCUAGGGGGCCAUCCCGGCUUACCAACCCGAUGCAAACUGCGAAUACCGGAGAAUGUUAUCACGGGAGACACACGGCGGGUGCUAACGUCCGUCGUGAAGAGGGAAACAACCCAGACCGCCAGCUAAGGUCCCAAAGUCAUGGUUAAGUGGGAAACGAUGUGGGAAGGCCCAGACAGCCAGGAUGUUGGCUUAGAAGCAGCCAUCAUUUAAAGAAAGCGUAAUAGCUCACUGGUCGAGUCGGCCUGCGCGGAAGAUGUAACGGGGCUAAACCAUGCACCGAAGCUGCGGCAGCGACGCUGAUGCGUUGUUGGGUAGGGGAGCGUUCUGUAAGCCUGUGAAGGUGGCCUGUGAGGGUUGCUGGAGGUAUCAGAAGUGCGAAUGCUGACAUAAGUAACGAUAAAGCGGGUGAAAAGCCCGCUCGCCGGAAGACCAAGGGUUCCUGUCCAACGUUAAUCGGGGCAGGGUGAGUCGACCCCUAAGGCGAGGCCGAAAGGCGUAGUCGAUGGGAAACGGGUUAAUAUUCCCGUACUUGGUGUUACUGCGAAGGGGGGACGGAGAAGGCUAUGUUGGCCGGGCGACGGUUGUCCCGGUUUAAGCGUGUAGGUGUGUGUUCCAGGUAAAUCCGGUUCACUUUAACACUGAGGCGUGAUGACGAGGCACUACGGUGCUGAAGCAACAAAUGCCCUGCUUCCAGGAAAAGCCUCUAAGCAUCAGGUAACAUCAAAUCGUACCCCAAACCGACACAGGUGGUCAGGUAGAGAAUACCAAGGCGCUUGAGAGAACUCGGGUGAAGGAACUAGGCAAAAUGGUGCCGUAACU
rnacentral:rRNA from 1 species